UUACAGUUGAUUUCUCCUAUUUUUUCUCAUUUAUAAGAAAAUUGCCACAGAUGCUUAGCUGUUGAGGUUACCGUCUUGGUUUCUUUGUUUGUUCCAUACUCGAAAAAUGUCUGCAGGCUGCUACUAUAAUUUGAGUUGCAAUACCUCCAUGGCUCCACCAGCUGCGUCCAUGUUACUUUCUGGUCGGCGUCUCGCGGUUGCUCUUUUAAUUAUGUCUAUGGUGCGUUAUUGGUGACGUAGAACAGAAUAGUUUGUACUUGCUUAAAUUUGUCAGUGAUAUGAUAAAUUUGGAACUGUGACAUGUCAUGAACGCCGAAAGCGUAUUUAUUCUGAAUGACAGGAGUAUAAAUAGGUAAAUGAGUGUAGGCCCAGAGAACAUUCAGAGGAGUCUACUGUAGGCUAGCCAUAUUCCGGCGCUGUAGAUGUGAUUUUUAUUGGUUAUGAUUUUUGUUGGACGAUUGGUUUUAAUGUCAUUUGGAUGGUAAAGAUUGGUUGAUAAAUAACAAGCAGCCCAAGUGUGGCCAGCGAAGGAAGUCCACAGUUGGAACCCAACAAGUCGAAGGUCUCUGGGAUACUUUAGUGAGUGAGGAACAGUGAGGGCAAGAAAUAAACAAGGUAGAUGAGACAUCCACGUUGUGAUCAAACUCGUCAGGUCAUUCGUUUUUACAAAGAUCGAUGCCAUAUAGUGGAAGAAUGACCAAUUGUUUGGGUUUGAUACCAUGAACUAUAAUUUUGGAAAGAUUAUAGCCACAAUCUUCCAGCAACUCGCCGUUAGUGACAUGAUCUUCCCUGUUUUCCAGCCACAAUCUUCCAGCAACUCGCCGUUAGUGACAUGAUCUUCCCGGCAGCCCUCUCAUGGCUUGAAUCUCGGCAUUUCAAAAUCAUUCGUCGUUUCAUGUGUAACAAUUGCAGUUUUUGCAGCAUAGCCUUGCAGGUCUCAUGCAGGCAUUU